GCGUGCRGAUGAAGCUUCGGGUUGUAAACUGCUUUGUACGGAMGAAAGGUCUGUUUAAUACAGUGGGCUAAUGACGGUACCGUAAGAAUAAGCACCGGCUAACUACGUGCCAGCAGCCGCGGUAAUACGUAGGGUGCGAGCGUUAAUCGGAAUUACUGGGCGUAAAGCGUGCGCAAGCGGUUWUAUAAGACAGAUGUGAAAUCCCGGGGCUCAACCUGGGAACUGCAUUWGAGACUKGUAUAGCUAGCAGUACGGUAGAGGGGGAUGGAAUUCCGCGUGUAGCAGUGAAAUGCGUAGAUAUGCGGAGGAACACCGRUGGCGAAGGCAAUCCCCUGGACCUGUACUGACGCUCAUGCACGAAAGCGUGGGGAGCAVVSVSGAUUAGAUACCCUGGUAGUCCACGCCCUAAACGAUGUCAACUGGUUGUUGGGVGKHABYGACUCAGUAACGAASSUAACGCG
rnacentral:rRNA from 1 species